GCAUAUCAAUAAGCGGAGGAAAAGAAAAUAACAAUGAUUCCCUCAGUAACGGCGAGCGAAGAGGGAUAAGCUCAAAUUUUAAAUCUGUUGGGUUCCACUCGACAGAGUUGUAUUUUGAAGAAACGUUUUCUGCAUCCAGGAUUAGCCUAAAUCCUUUGGGAUAAGGUAUCAUGGAGGGUGAGAAUCCCGUUCAUGGUUAAUCUUAAGGAAGCUCUACGAUACGUUUUCCAAGAGUCGAGUUGUUUGGGAUUGCAGCUCAAAAUGGGAGGUAAAUUUCUCCUAAGGUUAAAUAUUGGCGAGAGACCGAUAGCGAACAAGUACCGUGAGGGAAAGAUGAAAAGAACUUUGAAAAGAGAGUUAAACAGUACGUGAAAUUGUUGAAAGGGAAACGAUUGAAGUCAGUCAUACCAACGGGAAAUCAACCUUUUGAGCUCGGUCUCGUGGGUUUUGAAGAGUUUCAAAGCCUUCGGAUUCGCGGGAUUGGGAUCUCUUGGCGUACUUUUUCGUACGGUUAGUCAACAUCGGUUUUGAAUGUCAUAAAAUGACUGGAGGAAUGUAGCUUCGAUCUCGUAUUGAAGUGUUAUAGCCUUUGGUAGAUGUGAUGUUUGAGACCGAGGAUUGCAACGGAUACCCUUCAGGGCUAUUCGUCUGAUCUCUGAUACGUUGCCUUGAUGUUGAAAGCUUGCUUAUGAUGUUAGGGUAUUACGGUCAAAAGGUUAGAACGAAUUACAUUCGUUAAGGAUGUUGACGUAAUGGCUUUAAACGAC
rnacentral:rRNA from 1 species